CUACAUAGGCAAUGGAAACAAGUUAGCUGAGAUUUGUCAUAAAAUAAAUGUUUAAGAUACGUCAGAUGAACUACCUGCGAUGUGACUAUGACUACAAGUGGAGCCAGUGCUCAGGUUCUGAGGCUAUGUUAAAUACACCUUCAAACUUCUCUUCUAAAUUGAACUACAAUGUUAACUAGUGAGAAAGUCCGUGAAAAGAAGAGAUGCCAAAGAAGUAAAAGCACAAUGGAAGGACCAUUACUGAUGUGAAAUUUUUUAAAAUCCCAA